rnacentral:rRNA from 1 species
UCCUACGGGGCGCAGCAGUGAGGAAUAUUGGUCAAUGGCCGGAAGGCUGAACCAGCCAAGCCGCGUGAAGGACGACGGUGCCAAGCAUUGUAAACUUCUUUUGUCAAGGGGCAAAAUCAGGCUCGAGAGCCUGACCGAGGGUACUUGAAGAAAAAGCAUCGGCUAACUCCGUGCCAGCAGCCGCGGUAAUACGGAGGAUGCGAGCGUUAUCCGGAUUUAUUGGGUUUAAAGGGUGCGUAGGCGGACUGUUAAGUCAGCGGUAAAAGUCCGGGGCUCAACCUC